GACGAACGCUGGCGGCGCGCCUAACACAUGCAAGUCGAACGAGCGAGAGAGAGCUUGCUUUCUCGAGCGAGUGGCGAACGGGUGAGUAACGCGUGAGGAACCUGCCUCAAAGAGGGGGACAACAGUUGGAAACGACUGCUAAUACCGCAUAAGCCCACGGUGCCGCAUGGCACAGAGGGAAAAGGAGCAAUCCGCUUUGAGAUGGCCUCGCGUCCGAUUAGCUAGUUGGUGAGGUAAUGGCCCACCAAGGCAACGAUCGGUAGCCGGACUGAGAGGUUGAACGGCCACAUUGGGACUGAGACACGGCCCAGACUCCUACGGGAGGCAGCAGUGGGGAAUAUUGCACAAUGGGGGAAACCCUGAUGCAGCGACGCCGCGUGGAGGAAGAAGGUCUUCGGAUUGUAAACUCCUGUUGUUGGGGAAGAGUAAUGACGGUACCCAACAAGGAAGUGACGGCUAACUACGUG
rnacentral:rRNA from 1 species